rnacentral:misc_RNA from 1 species
AAGUCGUAACAAGGUUUCCGUAGGUGAACCUGCGGAAGGAUCAUCAUUGAUAUACAAUUGUGGUAGUGGGGUGCGCAUUUGUUUGUGUGCCCCGCGCCAUUUCCGACCGGGCACGAGUGAGAAAACCAAAUGGAGAGAUUUGGGCGGAGCAACAGUUUUUUAGGAUUUCGGGUUUUGUUGGACUGGGCUUUUGUGUUUGGUCCAGCAAUGCGCGCCCCUCCGACAAGACGACGCCCGGACUCUCCUACAAACCAAUAACCCCUAUUGUUGCUGUAACCUUUAAAGUAUAUAUCAUUAACAAAUACAACUUUCAACAAUGGAUCUCUUGGCUCUU